rnacentral:rRNA from 1 species
UGAUGUUAGCGGCGGACGGGUGAGUAACACGUGGGUAACCUGCCUGUAAGACUGGGAUAACUCCGGGAAACCGGGGCUAAUACCGGAUGCUUGUUUGAACCGCAUGGUUCAAAUAUAAAAGGUGGCUUCGGCUACCACUUACAGAUGGACCCGCGGCGCAUUAGCUAGUUGGUGAGGUAACGGCUCACCAAGGCAACGAUGCGUAGCCGACCUGAGAGGGUGAUCGGCCACACUGGGACUGAGACACGGCCCAGACUCCUACGGGAGGCAGCAGUAGGGAAUCUUCCGCAAUGGACGAAAGUCUGACGGAGCAACGCCGCGUGAGUGAUGAAGGUUUUCGGAUCGUAAAGCUCUGUUGUUAGGGAAGAACAAGUACCGUUCGAAUAGGGCGGUACCUUGACGGUACCUAACCAGAAAGCCACGGCUAACUACGUGCCAGCAGCCGCGGUAAUACGUAGGUGGCAAGCGUUGUCCGGAAUUAUUGGGCGUAAAGGGCUCGCAGGCGGUUUCUUAAGUCUGAUGUGAAAGCCCCCGGCUCAACCGGGGAGGGUCAUUGGAAACUGGGGAACUUGAGUGCAGAAGAGGAGAGUGGAAUUCCACGUGUAGCGGUGAAAUGCGUAGAGAUGUGGAGGAACACCAGUGGCGAAGGCGACUCUCUGGUCUGUAACUGACGCUGAGGAGCGAAAGCGUGGGGAGCGAACAGGAUUAGAUACCCUGGUAGUCCACGCCGUAAACGAUGAGUGCUAAGUGUUAGGGGGUUUCCGCCCCUUAGUGCUGCAGCUAACGCAUUAAGCACUCCGCCUGGGGAGUACGGUCGCAAGACUGAAACUCAAAGGAAUUGACGGG